AGUGCAUGUGGUGGAUGCCUUGGCGAUUACAGGCGAUGAAGGACGCGGUAGCCUGCGAAAAGCUUCGGGGAGCUGGCAAACGAGCUUUGAUCCGGAGAUGUCCGAAUGGGGAAACCCGGCCCGAAUGGGUCAUCCCUGACUGAAUACAUAGGUCAGGGAAGCGAACGCGGCGAACUGAAACAUCUAAGUAGCUGCAGGAACAGAAAUCAACCGAGAUUCCCAAAGUAGUGGCGAACGAAAUGGGAAGAGCCUUGUACUCUUUAGCAGCAUUGUUAGCAGAACGGGAUGGAAAGCCCGGCCAUAGCAGGUGAUAGCCCUGUAUGCGAAAACAGCGUUGUGGAACUAGGUGUACGACAAGUAGGGCGGGACACGUGAAAUCCUGUCUGAAGAUGGGGGGACCAUCCUCCAAGGCUAAAUACUCGUAAUCGACCGAUAGUGAACCAGUACCGUGAGGGAAAGGCGAAAAGAACCCCGGGAGGGGAGUGAAAUAGAUCCUGAAACCGCAUGCAUACAAACAGUCGGAGCCUGGAAACGGGUGACGGCGUACCUUUUGUAUAAUGGGUCAGCGACUUACAUUCAGUGGCAAGCUUAACCGAUUAGGGAAGGCGUAGCGAAAGCGAGUCCGAAUAGGGCGUUGAGUCGCUGGGUGUAGACCCGAAACCAGAUGAUCUAUCCAUGGCCAGGUUGAAGGUGCGGUAACACGUACUGGAGGACCGAACCCACUAACGUUGAAAAGUUAGGGGAUGAGCUGUGGAUAGGGGUGAAAGGCUAAACAAAUCUGGAAAUAGCUGGUUCUCUCCGAAAACUAUUUAGGUAGUGCCUCGUGUCUCACCUUCGGGGGUAGAGCACUGUCAUGGUUGGGGGGUCUAUUGCUGAUUACCCCGCCAUAGCAAACUCCGAAUACCGAAGAGUGCAAUCACGGGAGACAGACAUCGGGUGCUAACGUCCGGUGUCAAGAGGGAAACAACCCAGACCGCCAGCUAAGGUCCCAAAGAUUGGCUAAGUGGGAAACGAAGUGGGAAGGCUAAAACAGUCAGGAGGUUGGCUUAGAAGCAGCCACCCUUUAAAGAAAGCGUAAUAGCUCACUGAUCGAGUCGUCCUGCGCGGAAGAUGUAACGGGGCUAAGCCAGUCACCGAAGCUGCGGACGCACGCAAGUGCGUGGUAGGAGAGCGUUCUGUAAGCCUGUGAAGGUGUCUUGUAAAGGAUGCUGGAGGUAUCAGAAGUGCGAAUGCUGACAUGAGUAGCGAUAAAGGGGGUGAAAGGCCCCCUCGCCGUAAGCCCAAGGUUUCCUACGCAACGUUCAUCGGCGUAGGGUGAGUCGGCCCCUAAGGCGAGGCAGAGAUGCGUAGCUGAUGGGAAGCAGGUUAAUAUUCCUGCACCGUCGUAUGAUGCGAUGGGGGGACGGAUCGCGGAAGGUUGUCCGGGUGUUGGAAGUCCCGGUCCCUGCAUUGGAGAAGGCGCUUAGGCAAAUCCGGGCGCGGAAUUCAAGGAUGUGGGGCGAGCGGCCUAGUGCUGCGAAGCAAUUGGAAGUGGUUCCAAGAAAAGCCUCUAAGCUUCAGUCAUACGAGACCGUACCGCAAACCGACACAGGUGGGCGAGAUGAGUAUUCUAAGGCGCUUGAGAGAACUCGGGAGAAGGAACUCGGCAAAUUGGUACCGUAACUUCGGGAUAAGGUACGCCCUUGUAGCUUGACUGGCCUGCGCCAGGAGGGUGAAGGGGUUGCAAUAAAAUGGUGGCUGCGACUGUUUAAUAAAAACACAGCACUCUGCAAACACGAAAGUGGACGUAUAGGGUGUGACGCCUGCCCGGUGCCGGAAGAUUAAAUGAUGGGGUGCAAGCUCUUGAUUGAAGUCCCGGUAAACGGCGGCCGUAACUAUAACGGUCCUAAGGUAGCGAAAUUCCUUGUCGGGUAAGUUCCGACCUGCACGAAUGGCGUAACGAUGGCCACACUGUCUCCUCCCGAGACUCAGCGAAGUUGAAGUGUUUGUGAUGAUGCAAUCUCCCCGCGGCUAGACGGAAAGACCCCAUGAACCUUUACUGUAGCUUUGCAUUGGACUUUGAACCGAUCUGUGUAGGAUAGGUGGGAGGCUUUGAAGCGUGGACGCUAGUUCACGUGGAGCCGUCCUUGAAAUACCACCCUGGUUUGUUUGAGGUUCUAACCUUGGCCCGUGAAUCCGGGUCGGGGACAGUGCAUGGUAGGCAGUUUGACUGGGGCGGUCUCCUCCCAAAGUGUAACGGAGGAGUUCGAAGGUACGCUUGGUACGGUCGGACAUCGUACCUAAAGUGCAAUGGCAAAAGCGUGCUUAACUGCGAGACUGACAAGUCGAGCAGGUGCGAAAGCAGGACAUAGUGAUCCGGUGGUUCUGAAUGGAAGGGCCAUCGCUCAACGGAUAAAAGGUACUCUGGGGAUAACAGGCUGAUACCGCCCAAGAGUUCAUAUCGACGGCGGUGUUUGGCACCUCGAUGUCGGCUCAUCUCAUCCUGGGGCUGUAGCCGGUCCCAAGGGUAUGGCUGUUCGCCAUUUAAAGAGGUACGUGAGCUGGGUUUAAAACGUCGUGAGACAGUUUGGUCCCUAUCUGCCGUGGGCGUUGGAAUCUUGACGGGGGCUGCUCCUAGUACGAGAGGACCGGAGUGGACGUACCGCUGGUGUACCUGUUGUCUCGCCAGAGGCAUCGCAGGGUAGCUAUGUACGGAAGAGAUAACCGCUGAAAGCAUCUAAGCGGGAAACUCGCCUGAAGAUGAGGAUUCCCUGGAGGCUUGACCUCCUUGAAGGGUCGUUCGAGACCAGGACGUUGAUAGGCUGGGUGUGGAAGCGCAGUAAUGCGUUAAGCUAACCAGUACUAAUUGCCCGUAAGGCUUGAUC
rnacentral:rRNA from 1 species